UUGCUGGUGCUUUGCCUUAAGGGCCAGAAG
rnacentral:piRNA from 1 species